UCUUUAAAAUGGAUUUGAGAAGGGGGUCGCAUGUGUACAUAUGAGUCAGAUGACUCAUAAAAACCUCACCCUUUUUCAUAACUAGCGAAUCAUUUGCACUAGUCAGCACCUUUGGAGUAAAAAAAGGAACAAAUUACAGGUCACGUGAUCCCAAAGGAUCACAUGUGAUUUCUUUAUGGGUUAUAUCUUUUCUUAUGGGUUAUAUCGUUUUUAGGCGCUUGCUUCCUGUUAACGAAAUUCUUAUUUUUGCAUCUAGAGUACAGUAUUCUCCAUCGUACACCCAUCAUAUAGGAUCCAUAAUCAGGAUUUCGCAUCAUCUACGAUAUGCUGUACAGUUGGGCUAUUAAAUUUUGGGAUUCUUCACUAUAAGACCGUUUUUUUUUUUUUUACCAGGUUUCUAUGCGGCCAAGCGCACACAUGUAGAAAUGCAUAAAUGCUGCCAAGCCCUCACAAGAGAAAUUUUGUUUAUUGUUUUGCAUAUUGUGCAUAAUCAACGUCACAUUCUCAACUACUCGAUUUUACAUCUAGCAAUCAAUAGUAGUGACCAGUGUUGGAAAAAAUCCGGCGAUCUAACUAGUAACUGCCCGAUGUGGCCGGUUUCAAUUUUGGUGACUGUCUUGGUAUUUUUUAAAAAAAUUCAAAAAAAAAUAUUAAUCCCAAAAUAAGGGAUUUUGUUUGUAAUGUAAUUUUUAAUGUUUUCCAUCAUUAUGGCAAAGAUUGGAAAUCACUUAUACUUAUUUUACAUUUUUCCAUCUUUUUUAAAAAUUUUAAAAAAUACCCCUUAGUACAAAUCGG
rnacentral:lncRNA from 1 species